GACAGAGGGUGCAAACGUUGUUCGGAUUUACUGGGCGUAAAGCGCGUGUAGGCGGCUCUGCAAGUCGGAUGUGAAAGCCCACGGCUCAACCGUGGAAGUGCAUCCGAAACUGCAUGGCUUGAGUCUCGGAGAGGAAGGUGGAAUGCUUGGUGUAGAGGUGAAAUUCGUAGAUAUCAAGCAGAACACCUGCGGCGAAGGCGGCCUUCUGGACGAUGACUGACGCUGAGACGCGAAAGCGUGGGGAGCAAACAGG
rnacentral:rRNA from 1 species